rnacentral:rRNA from 1 species
GGGCGAGACCUCGGUCUAAGUCCAUUGGAACAUGGUGUCAUAGAGGGUGAGAAUCCCGUAUGCGACCGUGGCUCGAGCCCAUGUGAAGCCUCUUCGACGAGUCGAGUUUUUUGGGAAUGCAGCUCAAAAUGGGUGGUAAAUUUCAUCUAAAGCUAAAUACUGGCUGGAGACCGAUAGCGCACAAGUAGAGUGAUCGAAAGAUGAAAAGCACUUUGGAAAGAGAGUCAAACAGUACGUGAAAUUGUUGAAAGGGAAGCGCUUGCAACCAGACCUGCCCGUAGGCGAUCAGCCGCUGUUCUCAGCGGUGUACUCGCUCUGCGAUCAGGCCAGCAUCGGUUUCGGCGGUCGGAUAAAGGCCUUGGGAAUGUAGCUUCCCUUCGGGGGAGUCUUAUAGCCCUCGGUGUAAUGCGGCCAGCCGGGACCGAGGACCGCGCUUCGGCUAGGAUGCUGGCGUAAUGGUUGUAAGCGACCCGUCUUGAAACACGGACCAAGGAGUCUAACAUCUAUGCGAGUGUUUGGGUGUCAAACCCAUACGCGGAAUGAAAGUGAACGGAGGUGAGAACCCUUAAGGGCGCAUCAUCGACCGAUCCAGAUGUCUUCGGAUGGAUUUGAGUAUGAGCAUAGCUGUUGGGACCCGAAAGAUGGUGAACUAUGCCUGAAUAGGGUGAAGCCAGAGGAAACUCUGGUGGAGGCUCGCAGCGGUUCUGACGUGCAAAUCGAUCGUCAAAUUUGGGUAUAGGGGCGAAAGACUAAUC